rnacentral:misc_RNA from 1 species
GAUGAAGAACGCAGCGAAAUGCGAUAAGUAAUGUGAAUUGCAGAAUUCAGUGAAUCAUCGAAUCUUUGAACGCACAUUGCGCCCCCCAGUAUUCUGGCGGGCAUGCCUGUUCGAGCGUCAUUUCAACCAUCAAGCCCUGCUUGUGUUGGGGUCCUGCGGCUGCCCGCAGGCCCUGAAAACCAGUGGCGGGCUCGCUAGUCACACCGAGCGCAGUAGCACAUCUCGCUCAGGGCGUGCGGCGGGCUCCAGCCGUUAAAGCACCCACCUUUCGCAAGGUUGACCUCGGAUCAGGUAGGAAUACCCGCUGAACUUAAGCAUAUCAAUAGCGGAGGA